GAAGUAGACUAAAAUGAGACAAUGGGGGUAAAAUAGAAUUUGAAAAAGUAUACACAAAAGUUAAGAACGUAGUAGAAAAAAAUUAAAGAAAAAUAUUUUAAUAAAAAUUAAAAAUAAAUAUGAUUUUUUCAUUUCUGUAUUUAAGAAAAAAGAAAAAUGAAAAAGAGAAAAAGAGAAAAAAGAAAAGAAAAAAUUGUUUGAAAAUUUCAAAAAGUGAAUACACUGUAGUAGACUAAAAUAAAAUGAUGGAAGUAAAAUAGAACUUGAAAAAACUUACAUAACAGCAAAAAUAUAGUAAUAAAAAUUAAAUAAACAUAUUUUUAAUAGAAAUUGAAAGUAAAAAUGAAGUUUUUCUCUUUCUGCAUUGAAGAAAAGGAAAAGAAAUGAAAAAGAGGAAAAAAGAAAAAGAAAGAAGAAAAAGGAAAUUGAGAAUUUGAAAAGGUGGCGCUGCUGGCCUACUGGGGCAGAGUGUUGCAGCACUUGUAGGUGCAUAUGCGCAUGCGGGGGAAUGGUGAAGAUGGCGUCACCCAGCCACCCAGUCUGUUCUCCCGGAUCAGCAGCGCAUCCGUCCUCUGUCUUCAGCUUUCGUCCACUCCCCGCUCUUUCACUCUCUGUGACCAGGUCCCAGGCAGCACCUCUCUCCCGAGUUUUGUCUCAGAUGCAGCUGUUUUGCCCGGCCCCCUACUUCCGAAGGACUGCAACUUUGACCCGUUCCGCCCUUCUGCAGGAGGGUCUCACUGAGCAAUGGCCGAAUGAGCAAUGGCCAAAUAUCAGCUGCACCCAGGUACGUCCACUGGACCCUGCUGCUGCCGGUGCCCUGAGACUGCAGCCAGGUGCCGCCCGCCCCAGAAAAAGUUCGCGAGACGGUGUAGCAGCAGCGUUUCAGGGAUUAUGGAAAAUCACAACACGCAUCUGGCACCAGGCUUCAUCCCCAACGACCUUUUCCAGCACCAGUGAAUGUGGCUGCCUUCUGGGUUCUGCUGGGACCAGGUGGCUUCAGUAGUCUCUACCAAAUGUCCUUCCAGCAGUGGACCCGCUUUUCCCCGUGUGGCCCGAGAACCUCCUGGACUCCACUCUGUUCCUGGGGAUUCGCCCUUCCCACCAGAGCACCACCAGAGAAACCAGGCUCACCUGGCCACUAUUGCCCUGAACUGCCAGGAACCGGAGAAGAUGAAGGCAUCCAUGGUUCUUUCCCUCCUUGGCUACCUAGUGGUUCCAAGUGGCGCUGCUAUCAUGGGGCGCUGCGUGGUGGCUAAGAAGCUCAAAGAUGGAGGCCUGGAUCAUUUCGAGGGUUACAGCCUUGCAAACUGGGUGUGCCUGGCUUAUUUUGAGAGCAAGUUCAACCCCACGGCGGUCUACGAGAACCUCCAACGUGACUACACUGGCUACGGCCUCUUUCAGAUCCCCAACCGUGACUGGUGCGACACGGGCAAGAACCGCUGCCACAUGUCCUGCUCUGCUUUACUGAAUCCAGAUUUGAAGAAGACAAUUGAAUGUGUUAAGAAAAUCGUAAAAGAUAAGGAAGGGUUGGGAGCAUGAAACUCCAGUAAAUGUUGAGUAGAAGUGAUGAUAGUGGCAUCCUUGUCUUAUUCCCAAUUUCACAGGCCCUCCUGGUCCCUGAACUGCCAGUACUCAGACACUCUGGAACGGUGGUUGGAUGGAUGCAGGCUGUAGCCGCAGGGGCGGCCCUGACGCCAUUCUCUGGUGGUACCUUCCAAAUGAAGAUGCUUUGCUGUUUGCUGCCUUCACGCAAUCCUGUUGAUUAUCUCUCAGCUUGACAGCUCCAUCAGAUGCAAAAGGACGAAAGUUUGCUUCCUCCAGGGAUGCGGGAUGUAGAAUAAACCAGCUGCUUACUCAACCUGGACCAAAGGUCUCCGCUUGUAUUAUUAUCCUGUGAUUGCUACUCGGAUAACCAUUAUUUACCGUCAUCAUGAUUUAUUAUUAUUUAAUCUUAGAUGGAGGACUUAGAGGAAGGAAACUAUCUGGAAAACAAGGUGUGUCCAUGAAUGUCAAUAUUAAAUAGGGAAGGGAAGAAAAGAUACAGGAGAAGAAAAGAGGGGUCAAGGGCAAGCAGGGCCACCAAUCCCAACCCGUGUCCACAUUGGGACCCCAGGUGGAAGUGACACUACAAAAUCCUCCUUGUACUUCUGUGGAGAGAAUCAAGUGACAGUUGCCCUUUCUUAUA